rnacentral:misc_RNA from 1 species
GACAAGUUAUAACUAUUUUAUGGUGAGUUCAUAAAUUAAUAUUUUGGUAUGAUUUAUUUGCCCAUCUAGUGCUAAUUUGCAUUAUGGAGCACAUUUUGCAGAUUCAAUAGUAUUAGCAAGAACUAUUUUAUGAAGUGAGCUCUAUUAUUUGGAGCAUUUUUUGAAAUGCAUCACUAAUUCAAUCACCAUUUAAUCCCAAAUAUCAUCUUGCAAGCAUGCAAA